rnacentral:rRNA from 1 species
AAAUUGAAGAGUUUGAUCAUGGCUCAGAUUGAACGCUGGCGGCAGGCCUAACACAUGCAAGUCGAACGGUAACAGGAAGCAGCUUGCUGCUUUGCUGACGAGUGGCGGACGGGUGAGUAAUGUCUGGGAAACUGCCUGAUGGAGGGGGAUAACUACUGGAAACGGUAGCUAAUACCGCAUAAUGUCGCAAGACCAAAGAGGGGGACCUUCGGGCCUCUUGCCAUCGGAUGUGCCCAGAUGGGAUUAGCUAGUAGGUGGGGUAAAGGCUCACAUAGGCGACGAUCCCUAGCUGGUCUGAGAGGAUGACCAGCCACACUGGAACUGAGACACGGUCCAGACUCCUACGGGAGGCAGCAGUGGGGAAUAUUGCACAAUGGGCGCAAGCCUGAUGCAGCCAUGCCGCGUGUAUGAAGAAGGCCUUCGGGUUGUAAAGUACUUUCAGCGGGGAGGAAGGGAGUAAAGUUAAUACCUUUGCUCAUUGACGUUACCCGCAGAAGAAGCACCGGCUAACUCCGUGCCAGCAGCCGCGGUAAUACGGAGGGUGCAAGCGUUAAUCGGAAUUACUGGGCGUAAAGCGCACGCAGGCGGUUUGUUAAGUCAGAUGUGAAAUCCCCGGGCUCAACCUGGGAACUGCAUCUGAUACUGGCAAGCUUGAGUCUCGUAGAGGGGGGUAGAAUUCCAGGUGUAGCGGUGAAAUGCGUAGAGAUCUGGAGGAAUACCGGUGGCGAAGGCGGCCCCCUGGACGAAGACUGACGCUCAGGUGCGAAAGCGUGGGGAGCAAACAGGAUUAGAUACCCUGGUAGUCCACGCCGUAAACGAUGUCGACUUGGAGGUUGUGCCCUUGAGGCGUGGCUUCCGGAGCUAACGCGUUAAGUCGACCGCCUGGGGAGUACGGCCGCAAGGUUAAAACUCAAAUGAAUUGACGGGGGCCCGCACAAGCGGUGGAGCAUGUGGUUUAAUUCGAUGCAACGCGAAGAACCUUACCUGGUCUUGACAUCCACGGAAGUUUUCAGAGAUGAGAAUGUGCCUUCGGGAACCGUGAGACAGGUGCUGCAUGGCUGUCGUCAGCUCGUGUUGUGAAAUGUUGGGUUAAGUCCCGCAACGAGCGCAACCCUUAUCCUUUGUUGCCAGCGGUCCGGCCGGGAACUCAAAGGAGACUGCCAGUGAUAAACUGGAGGAAGGUGGGGAUGACGUCAAGUCAUCAUGGCCCUUACGACCAGGGCUACACACGUGCUACAAUGGCGCAUACAAAGAGAAGCGACCUCGCGAGAGCAAGCGGACCUCAUAAAGUGCGUCGUAGUCCGGAUUGGAGUCUGCAACUCGACUCCAUGAAGUCGGAAUCGCUAGUAAUCGUGGAUCAGAAUGCCACGGUGAAUACGUUCCCGGGCCUUGUACACACCGCCCGUCACACCAUGGGAGUGGGUUGCAAAAGAAGUAGGUAGCUUAACCUUCGGGAGGGCGCUUACCACUUUGUGAUUCAUGACUGGGGUGAAGUCGUAACAAGGUAACCGUAGGGGAACCUGCGGUUGGAUCACCUCCUUA